UACGGAGGGGGCAAGCGUUGUUCGGAAUCAUUGGGCGUAAAGGGCGCGUAGGCGGCCGACCAAGUCGGGUGUGAAAUCCCUCGGCUCAACCGAGGAACUGCAUUCGAUACUGGUUGGCUAGAGUCCGGGAGGGGAUGGUGGAAUUCCCAGUGUAGCGGUGAAAUGCGUAGAUAUUGGGAAGAACACCGGUGGCGAAGGCGGCCAUCUGGACCGGCACUGACGCUGAGGCGCGAAAGCGUGGGGAGCGAACAGG
rnacentral:rRNA from 1 species